rnacentral:rRNA from 1 species
UUAAGCGACUAAGCGUACACGGUGGAUGCCCUGGCAGUCAGAGGCGAUGAAGGACGUGCUAAUCUGCGAAAAGCGUCGGUAAGGUGAUAUGAACCGUUACAGCCGGCGAUGUCCGAAUGGGGAAACCCAGUGCAAUUCGUUGCACUAUCGUUAACUGAAUACAUAGGUUAACGAGGCGAACCGGGGGAACUGAAACAUCUAAGUACCCCGAGGAAAAGAAAUCAACCGAGAUUCCCCCAGUAGCGGCGAGCGAACGGGGAGCAGCCCGGAGUCUGAAUCAGCUUGUGUGUUAGUGGAAGCGUCUGGAAAGUCGCAGGGUACAGGGUGAUACUCCCGUACACUAAAACACACAGGCUGUGAACUCGAAGAGUAGGGCGGGACACGUGGUAUCCUGUCUGAAUAUGGGGGGACCAUCCUCCAAGGCUAAAUACUCCUGACUGACCGAUAGUGAACCAGUACCGUGAGGGAAAGGCGAAAAGAACCCCGGCGAGGGGAGUGAAAAAGAACCUGAAACCGUGUACGUACAAGCAGUAGGAGCCCCACCACCAAAGCGUUUCGCUUUGCGUGGUGCGCAAAAUGCGUAACGACAGCAUGAUGGACGGUUAACGGAGCGUCAGCGACGUUCAACGUCAAAAAUCAGGCAGUGGAGCGUUUUGGGGUGGGGUGACUGCGUACCUUUUGUAUAAUGGGUCAGCGACUUAUAUUCUGUAGCAAGGUUAACCGUAUAGGGGAGCCGCAGGGAAACCGAGUCUUAACUGGGCGUUAAGUUGCAGGGUAUAGACCCGAAACCCGGUGAUCUAGCCAUGGGCAGGUUGAAGGUUGGGUAACACUAACUGGAGGACCGAACCGACUAAUGUUGAAAAAUUAGCGGAUGACUUGUGGCUGGGGGUGAAAGGCCAAUCAAACCGGGAGAUAGCUGGUUCUCCCCGAAAGCUAUUUAGGUAGCGCCUCGUGAAUUCAUCUUCGGGGGUAGAGCACUGUUUCGGCUAGGGGGUCAUCCCGACUUACCAACCCGAUGCAAACUACGAAUACCGAAGAAUGUUAUCACGGGAGACACACGGCGGGUGCUAACGUCCGUCGUGAAGAGGGAAACAACCCAGACCGCCAGCUAAGGUCCCAAAGUCAUGGUUAAGUGGGAAACGAUGUGGGAAGGCCCAGACAGCCAGGAUGUUGGCUUAGAAGCAGCCAUCAUUUAAAGAAAGCGUAAUAGCUCACUGGUCGAGUCGGCCUGCGCGGAAGAUGUAACGGGGCUAAACCAUGCACCGAAGCUGCGGCAGCGACACUAUGUGUUGUUGGGUAGGGGAGCGUUCUGUAAGCCGUUGAAGGUGGCCUGUGAGGGUUGCUGGAGGUAUCAGAAGUGCGAAUGCUGACAUAAGUAACGAUAAUGCGGGUGAAAAACCCGCACGCCGGAAGACCAAGGGUUCCUGUCCAACGUUAAUCGGGGCAGGGUGAGUCGACCCCUAAGGCGAGGCCGAAAGGCGUAGUCGAUGGGAAACAGGUUAAUAUUCCUGUACUUGGUGUUACUGCGAAGGGGGGACGGAGAAGGCUAUGUUGGCCGGGCGACGGUUGUCCCGGUUUAAGCAUGUAGGCGGAUGUUCCAGGUAAAUCCGGAGCGUCACUAACGCUGAGGUGUGAUGACGAGGCACUACGGUGCUGAAGUGACAAAUGCCCUGCUUCCAGGAAAAGCCUCUAAGCAUCAGGUAACAUCAAAUCGUACCCCAAACCGACACAGGUGGUCAGGUAGAGAAUACCAAGGCGCUUGAGAGAACUCGGGUGAAGGAACUAGGCAAAAUGGUGCCGUAACUUCGGGAGAAGGCACGCUGAUGGUAGGUGAAGUGACUUGCUCAUGGAGCUGAAAUCAGUCGAAGAUACCAGCUGGCUGCAACUGUUUAUUAAAAACACAGCACUGUGCAAACACGAAAGUGGACGUAUACGGUGUGACGCCUGCCCGGUGCCGGAAGGUUAAUUGAUGGGGUUAUCCUCGCGGAGAAGCUCUUGAUCGAAGCCCCGGUAAACGGCGGCCGUAACUAUAACGGUCCUAAGGUAGCGAAAUUCCUUGUCGGGUAAGUUCCGACCUGCACGAAUGGCGUAA